AAUUUUUCAUAGCUCUUUUACAAUGUUUUCUAGCAGGAUUUCUGACCUUGGUCGGAAAUCCCAA